GCGGUCGCUGGCAGGGAACAGGCGUGAAGCGCUUUGGCAGUCAUGCGGUGGCACUCGCGAGGGUGUCACCGAAGCGUUGACAGGGGCGCACGUAGGCCAGCCAUUGAGCGAGGAAAGACUUUCCAAUCGGAGUGCUGAUGCUUUCCAGUCAGCAGAAGGCAAUACAAAAGAAACAGACUAAGUUCUUCCAAGUUCU
rfam:Candidatus Burkholderia humilis strain TZHbot5 BHTMctg5, whole genome shotgun sequence.